UACGUAGGGGGCAAGCGUUGUCCGGAAUUAUUGGGCGUAAAGAGCGUGUAGGCGGUUCGAUAAGUUUGCUGUAAAAGUCGGGGGCUCAACCCCCGAAAGCCGGUGAAUACUGUCGGACUAGAGUGCGGAAGAGGCGAGUGGAAUUCCUGGUGUAGCGGUGAAAUGCGCAGAUAUCAGGAGGAACACCAAUGGCGAAGGCAGCUCGCUGGGACGUGACUGACGCUGAGACGCGAAAGCGUGGGGGAGCAAACAGG
rnacentral:rRNA from 1 species